GACGAACGCUGGCGGCGUGCUUAACACAUGCAAGUCGAACGGAAAGGCCCUUCGGGGUACUCGAGUGGCGAACGGGUGAGUAACACGUGGGUGAUCUGCCCUGCACUUUGGGAUAAGCCUGGGAAACUGGGUCUAAUACCGAAUAGGACCACGCGCUUCAUGGUGUGUGGUGGAAAGCUUUUGCGGUGUGGGAUGGGCCCGCGGCCUAUCAGCUUGUUGGUGGGGUAAUGGCCCACCAAGGCGACGACGGGUAGCCGGCCUGAGAGGGUGACCGGCCACACUGGGACUGAGAUACGGCCCAGACUCCUACGGGAGGCAGCAGUGGGGAAUAUUGCACAAUGGGCGCAAGCCUGAUGCAGCGACGCCGCGUGAGGGAUGACGGCCUUCGGGUUGUAAACCUCUUUCAAUAGGGACGAAGCGCAAGUGACGGUACCUAUAGAAGAAGCACCGGCCAACUACGUG
rnacentral:rRNA from 1 species